rnacentral:rRNA from 1 species
UACGAAGGGAGCGAGCGUUGUUCGGAAUCACUGGGCGUAAAGCGCGCGUAGGCGGUUUUAUAAGUCAGAAGUGAAAGCCUGGGGCUCAACCUCAGAAUUGCUUUUGAGACUGUAAAGCUAGAAUCCUGGAGAGGUUAGUGGAAUUCCGAGUGUAGAGGUGAAAUUCGCAGAUAUUCGGAGGAACACCAGUGGCGAAGGCGACUAACUGGACAGGCAUUGACGCUGAGGCACGAAAGCGUGGGGAUCAAACAGG